UACGAAGGGGGCUAGCGUUGCUCGGAAUCACUGGGCGUAAAGCGCACGUAGGCGGAUUGCUAAGUCAGGGGUGAAAUCCUGGAGCUCAACUCCAGAACUGCCUUUGAUACUGAGGAUCUUGAGUUCGGGAGAGGUGAGUGGAACUGCGAAGUGUAGAGGUGAAAUUCGUAGAUAUUCGCAAGAACACCAGUGGCGAAGGCGGCUCACUGGCCCGAUACUGACGCUGAGGCACGAAAGCGUGGGGAGCAAACAGG
rnacentral:rRNA from 1 species